UCCGGUAUGGUGUAACGGCUAACAUUACCGCCUUUCAUCUUCGUAUUUGUUGAGUGUGCGCGGUAGCUCGGGGUUCGAUUCCCCGUACCGGAA